CCUACGGGAGGCAGCAGUGGGGAAUAUUGCACAAUGGGGGAAACCCUGAUGCAGCGACGCCGCGUGAGUGAAGAAGUAAUUCGUUAUGUAAAGCUCUAUCAGCAGGGAAGAAAAUGACGGUACCUGAGGAAGAAGCCCCGGCUAACUCCGUGCCAGCAGCCGCGGGAAGACGUAGGUGGCAAGAGUUGUCCGGAAUUACGGGGUGUAACGGGAGCGCAGGCGGGACGCCAAGUCAGCUGGGAAACCUACGGGCUUACCUUGUAGACUGCAGUUGAAACUGGUUUUCUUGCGUGAAGUAGAGGUUGGCGGAAUUCCGAGUGGAGCGGUGAAAUGCGUCGAUAUUCGGAGGAACACCGGUGGCGAAGGCGGCCAACUGGGCUUUAACUGACGCUGAGGCUCGAAAGUGUGGGGAGCAAACAGGAUUAGAUACCCCAGUAGUC
rnacentral:rRNA from 1 species